CUGGAACUGUGUAGUAUAAUGUAAAGUUGCAGAUGCAGCUAUUAUAAAGCCAAGAAAGGCGGAGCUUAAUGUCAAUGGAAAGAUAAGAAGUUCUUUGGAAGCUUUCGCACCGUGGUUGAGAUCAGGUUUUCGUCUGCGUAUAGGAAGAGACUCCUUAAAUAACAAUAGAAAACGUAGUCUGACCUAUCAAUUAUUUUACAGUUUCUUAAAAAAAUUAUUAUACCCCAGAAAGAGUUGGCAAACUUUUGCCAUUAUUUAAAAAAAAAUUAAAAGUGUACUAUAUCAGUACAUUUCUGGAAAGGCCAGAUUAAUCAAGAAGGUGGAAAUCAAGGCAAGUUAAGUCAGGAACAUUCAAAAUAUAUUCAAAAUAAAUUAUAAAUUUUGAAUUUGAAAAAUAAAUUUUUGAAUUAGUAAUGAUAAACAUCGUCAAGCUGUUACAAAGUCAGAAUUUCAGCUCAUAAAUUACCUGUUGAAACUGGUCGAUAUCAAGCAAUGAGUCCGCCAAUAACCAAUGUUCCAUAUACGAUAAAACUAUUAAAAUAAUUUGUCAACAUUGGAUUUAAUUUCAACGAGGUUGGAAAGGAACAGCACUAUAGUAUUUAAUGCGGUGCAACAUUACGAUGCAAGCC